UGGUUCCGUGUGGCUCUUUUCUCUCUCCUGCCUGUCAAAAAGUUGCUAUUCCUGUGAUUAAAACCAUUACAGUCCUUCAAAAGUUAUACAUGACUUUCAGGCUUCAGCCUCAAUAGAAGCAGAGCUACAAACUAAAAAUUGUCUACAAACAAAAACUGAGGACUACAUCACUCUAAUUUCACAUCUGCAUCGGGAUGAAGGACCAGAUAAGGCAGGCAGACAGUCACUGAGGAGGAGGUCUGAGGAAGAGCACCCCUUUCUGACACUGUAGAUAGAGCUGAAUCUGGAAGAAUGAACCUGUAAAAAAUGACAUCAUAUUGCUCAAGCCUUCUUUCAUGAGUGACUUUAGAUGAAUAUACAAUCGCAACAAAUCUCGACAAUUUGUUACCUUUUGUGAUAUGUCAUUGACCAAGUUACUUAUAACUGAAAACAGCUUAAUGAUUUUAACAGCAUAAUAGAUUAUGCAACACACAAACUUAAGAAUGAAUAUAUUAUUAGUGAAAUGGUUAUCAUGCACAACAAAUUUACAUUGCAACAACUACAGAAGGCAUAAAUAUAUGAAAUCAAGAGAACUUCAAAAUUUUGCAUUCUAAAUAGUGCUAAGAAGGAUUUUACAUAAUUUUUUAAGAGAAAAGUAUAAGAUGUGUUUGUUUGUUUUCAUUUUUUGAGACAUAAAGUCUCACUGAAUAGGUCAGGGGAUCUGUGGGCUCACUAUGUAGCCAAGCUGGCCUCAAACUCAUGGCAAUGCUCCUGUCUUAGCGUCAUGAGUGCUGACAUUACA